CAGCUGCACUCCAAAAACAGCUGCCAGGGACCACCCAUAUUGUUUUUUCAGGGACACUGAAGAAGUGGCUUAAAUAUGCACCGGAGAGAGAGGGAGGUGGAGGGAGGCGAACAAAUGAACGCGAUCAGGCGCCGCAGGAUCCUCGACCAUGAAUGAAUGUGUGUGUGUAAAUAAUAAUUAUAUUCGUUAGAAUAAGUAGGGUUAAUUGGGUUUGGGUUGUUCGUGUUCGGUUAUCACGUUCUGUUGUUCAUUAUGGUCGCCACCGUUGUUGUGUCAUGUUUGUUUGUUGGGUGCUCUAUGUGAGAGGAUUUUAAUAAAAGUAGUCUGCGUCGAGGGGUGUACGGGGCGCAGAACUACAGUUAAAUAAA